rnacentral:rRNA from 1 species
UAAAUAGCCAGGCCGGCUCUCGCUGGUCGCCGGCUUCUUAGAGGGACUGUCAGCGUCUAGCUGACGGAAGUUUGAGGCAAUAACAGGUCUGUGAUGCCCUUAGAUGUUCUGGGCCGCACGUGCGCUACACUGAUGUAUUCAACGAGUAUAUAGCCUUGGCCG